UUUACAAUCCCUCACUUUCUGAAUUUCUUUUAUUCUCUUCUCAAUCUCAUCUCACUUUAAUCCCUCUCUUCUCUGAACGGCAAGCGCCGCCACCAUCUUUAGAAGAAAUCUCUCGUGCCCGGUCGUUAUCGAACCCACCAUCGUCGUCCCUCGUGUCCUGCCCGUACCUUGUCAUUGUCGAACAGUCCUUCUUCGACUGUCGUUGUGCUCGCCACCACCGUCGAUUCAAACAUCUCUACAUUUCUAUUUAAGAAGUACAAAAGAAAAGAAGAAGUCGAAGGGAUAAAAUUUUGUCGUUGCCGCAAAAAUUUUCGAGGCAAUGUUCUAACGUUUCAGGAGAAGAUAUGGGAGAACCCAUUUGCAUGACUUUGGUCGUUGCCGCCGGUAACAAAAUACUUCAGAAGAAGGGAACCGUCAUUUUCUUUUUCACAUUUUUUAGGUCAUUUAAUUUCAUCCGAUUCGUUUUUUUAUUCUUCCUUGAGUUGUUUGAUCGCUAGUAGUAUAGUGUUUCUUUAAUUCUCAAUUUUUUGGAUUUCAUUAAGGAAGCAUGAGAGAUUGAAUUUUCUUUAUGAAUUGGGUUUGAAAGUUGGGAAAGCUAGCAAUUUCGAUGGAUUUAAAAGCCUUGAAACCCUACUUAGUUCAACUAUUGCCGCGACUGCCACUGAACCAUCUAGUUCCAAGGUGAAAUAGAAAUAUAAGGUUUGCCACGGAGUGUAACAUUUACGAAAUUGUGCUUUCUUUGGUUUUUGCUUCGUCUUUGUGCAAUCUACUUGGCAGCUUGAAAGGUGGAAAUGACCAUAUAGAUAGAUGGUCAGACGAUCGUUGAAGGUUGAAGACUGAAAAGACGUUUGGUCGUGGGUAUCUUGCAUUUUUCGUGCUUGAUCUCUGUAUAUCAUAUACUAUGAUCACAAAUACUCUGUACCAUGUUAACUUGUUUAAAGUUGGUUGUAAUAGUCACAUUGUAUGCGUGGUCAAAGUCCCUAUCAAUUGUCAUUUCCUAGCUUACUAGUUUAUCCGUUUCAGAUUGUUAAUAGAAUCAAGAAGUUAAGGAAGAAAGCUGCCCUUGAACCUACAGAUACAGUAGAAGUGUAUUUUCGAUCACAAGAUUAGGAUACAUCACUAGCACACAGAGACAUCAAAGUCCAAUUUCUUUUAAAUCUUUUGCAGUUUUUUAAACGAUGUAUAUAUGGAAAGGUUUCUUCUGCAUUUUUCUUUUCUUAUGUUUGUGGGAAUUUCUUGUUAAUGCUAGGUUCACAUCUUCAUUUCAACCUAAUUUCCAAAGAAACAACCUUUUCUAGUGCUGCAAAGUUCUCAUGUAAUGUAAUCUUGCCUUGAAUCUUGAAAACUCUUGUGUAUAUCGGCUUUGGUUUGUAGUUAGAUAUGACUAAUGCCAUAAACAUGCUUGUACGUUUCUCUCCUUUGGUCGUCCAAACUCGACUUCAUAGUUUAACCUUUCCAGAUUAGAUUAAUUCAAUGUUGAAAUAGUAUCAAGUGUCUCAGUUUAUAAUCUUGCUAUCCAAAAAAUAAAAUACCAUAGAUAAACAUUUUAUGCUUCUUCUACAUUUACAUUUUACAUAUAUUAAGCUCUUUUUUAUGUGUGGAAUAGAAUAACCGUAGAUUAACAAAUGCUUUGCUUUAAUUGAACAGGUGAACUAGGGGCAUCUGGUUAUUGAUGUGUAUGUUAAGAUGAAGAAGGUCUUUGAUCAAACUGUUAGCGACUAAAAGAGAGGUAAGUAUAAGACUGCUCAAGAUUCUUAAAAUAUAGUAGAAGAUUACAGACCUUAUUUUAUUUUCAAUACAUCGACUCCAAUGGGAGGGACCAAGCUUCUAAUGAAAGCUAUGUGUGCUUUUUAUUCAAUUGAUCUGAAUAUUUAACUUCUUUUUCUGUAUCAUAUGUUUGUUAGUGCUCUAUAAAUAUAAAAUGAUAAAAAUGUUCUUUCAACUUUUACACAACAGUUUCAAUAAACGUUUAUUUUGAUAUU